UACGUAGGAUGCUAGCGUUGUCCGGAUUUACUGGGCGUAAAGCGCGCGCAGGCGGCACUGUAAGUAAGGUGUGAAAUCUCCCUGCUCAACGGGGAGGGUGCACUUUAGACUGCAGAGCUAGAGGACGGUAGAGGGGGGUGGAAUUGCUGGUGUAGCGGUGGAAUGCGCAGAUAUCAGGAGGAACACCGGUGGCGAAGGCGGUUCUCUGGGCAUUACCUGACGCUGAGGAGCGAAAGUGUGGGGAGCGAACAGG
rnacentral:rRNA from 1 species